rnacentral:misc_RNA from 1 species
GAUGAAGAACGUAGUGAAAUGCGAUACUUGGUGUGAAUUGCAGAAUCCCGUGAACCAUCGAGUCUUUGAACGCAAGUUGCGCCCGAAGUCUUUCAGACCGAGGGCACGUCUGCCUGGGCGUCACACACAGCGUCGCCCCCCACCAACCCGUUGGCUGGGGGACGGAAACUGGCCCCCCGAGCCCCCACGGGCACGGUCGGCACAAAUGUUGGUCCUCGGCGGCGAGCGUCGCGGUCAGCGGUGGUUGUACUCUCACCACCCAAAGACAAAAACGACGCGUACGCCUCGCCGCACGCAGGCGUAACGAACCCAGAGAAGCUCUCCCCGGAGACUUCAACCUGCGACCCCAGGUCAGGCGGGAUUACCCGCUGGGUUUAAGCAUAUCAAUAAGCGGAGGA